rnacentral:pre_miRNA from 1 species
AGCCUUCUGUAUCCGUGCUGAGAUUUCGUCACAUAUCGGAGCACAAGGGCUGAUGAGACUUUCAAGAUAAGUGAAACG